rnacentral:rRNA from 1 species
GACGAACGCUGGCGGCGUGCCUAAUACAUGCAAGUAGAACGCUGAAGGAGGAGCUUGCUUCUCUGGAUGAUUUGCGAACGGGUGAGUAACGCGUAGGUAACCUGCCUGGUAGCGGGGGAUAACUAUUGGAAACGAUAGCUAAUACCGCAUAAUAGCAGUUAUUGCAUGAUAACUGUUUGAAAGGUGCAAUUGCACCACUACCAGAUGGUCCUGCGUUGUAUUAUCUAGUUGGUGGGGUAAAGGCUCACCAAGGCGACGAUACAUAGCCGGCCUGAGAGGGGGGUCGGCCAAACUGGGAACGGGACACGGCCCAGGCUCCUACGGGAGGCAGCAGGAGGGAAUCUUCGGCAAAGGACGGAAGGCUGAACGAGCAACGCCGCGGGAGUGAAGAAGGGUGUCGGAUCGUAAAGCUCUGUUGUAAGAGAAGAAAGAGUGGGGGAGUGGAAAGUUCACACUGUGACGGUAUCUAAUCAGAAAGGGACGGCUAACUACGUG